rnacentral:rRNA from 1 species
AGAGUUUGAUCAUGGCUCAGAACGAACGCUGGCGGCGUGGAUAAGACAUGCAAGUCGGACGAGAUUUUUCGUUGUAGCAAUACGAUGGAAAGUCUAGUGGCGAACGGGUGCUUAACACGUGGGCAACCUGCCGAGAAGUGGGGGAUAGCUCGCCGAAAGGCGAAUUAAUACCGCGUGUGAUUAGAGUGGACAUCCAUUCGAAAUUAAAGUCGGGGCAACCUGACGCUUCUUGUGGGGCCCGCGGCCUAUCAGCUAGUUGGUGAGGUAAUGGCUCACCAAGGCUUUGACGGGUAGCUGGUCUGAGAGGACGACCAGCCACACUGGGACUGAGACACGGCCCAGACACCUACGGGUGGCAGCAGUCGAGAAUUUUUCUCAAUGGGGGAAACCCUGAAGGAGCGACGCCGCGUGGAGGAUGAAGGUCUUCGGAUUGUAAACUCCUGUCAUUGGGGAACAAGGUGCAUACGUUAACUGCGUGUGCAUUGAUAGUACCCGAAGAGGAAGAGACGGCUAACUCUGUGCCAGCAGCCGCGGUAAUACAGAGGUCUCAAGCGUUGUUCGGAUUCAUUGGGCGUAAAGGGUGCGUAGGCGGCGCGGUAAGUCGGGUGUGAAAUCUCGGAGCUUAACUCCGAAACUGCAUUCGAUACUGCCGUGCUUGAGGACUGGAGAGGAGACUGGAAUUUACGGUGUAGCGGUGAAAUGCGUAGAUAUCGUAAGGAAGACCAGUGGCGAAGGCGGGUCUCUGGACAGUUCCUGACGCUGAGGCACGAAGGUCAGGGGAGCAAACGGGAUUAGAUACCCUAGUAGUCC